CCUACGGGUGGCAGCAGUGGGGAAUAUUGCACCAUGGGGGAAACCCUGAUGCAGCGACGCCGCGUGAGUGAAGAAGUAUCUCGGUACGUAAAGCUCUAUCAUCAGGGAAGAUAAUGACGGUAUCUAACUAAGAAGCACCGGCUAACUACGUGCCAGCAGCCGCGGUAAUACGUAGGGUGCAAGCGUUAUCCGGAUUUACUGGGUGUAAAGAGAGCGUAGACGGCAGAGCAAGUCUGAAGUGAAAUCCCGGGGCUUAACCCUGGAACUGCUUUGGAAACUGUUCGGCUGGAGUGCAGGAGGGGUAAGUGGAAUUCUUAGUGUAGGGGUGAAAUGCGUAGAGAUUAGGAGGAACACCCGUGGCGAAGGCGACUUACUGGAACGUAACUGACGUUGAGGCUCGAAAGCGUGGGGAGCAAACAGGAUUAGAUACCCCAGUAGUC
rnacentral:rRNA from 1 species